CUGUAGUAAUGUCUUUCCAGAGCCACUGUGAUGGGGCUUCAGGGAAACCUGUGGGUCUCCGUGUCUGUUGACUGCUGAUGGAUGUGUAUGUACAGUGAAGCAAUACUGUACGUAUUGUUCUCACUGCCUGCUAACUGUUGUUUUCUCAGUUUCAGAAGAGCUGCUUAGUGAGCUCAUCCAAAAUCUUACUCCUGAUGAAGAGAGAAUUUAUGUUUACAGGACAGAAACAGGAAUGCUAACACCCAUCUUGUAUAUUAAAAAAGAUGCUGAGAUCCUCACGCCAGGUUGUACUUCAGGUUCGCAUAUAAUAAGGAAGAGGUGAUUUCUAUGGUGAAGAACUGGAAGUUUUUUUCACCAAUGUGCUGAUGAAGAAAAUGGUAACACCUGAAGAUAUAGAAGGCAGAACAAGGAACUCCUACAUGCUUCAGCUACAGCUUGUACUAAGAAGCAAGAAAUCCAGUUCUUGGCAUCAUCGUUCACAAGCAUCCUGAAGUCUUUUUUUGAUGCACGUGUGGUUCAUGGAGAACCAUUUUGGAACCACAAGUAAGAGAG
ensembl:lncRNA